rnacentral:lncRNA from 1 species
AGAAACAGGAAAUGGGAUUGCAAACCUAGUAGCUGCGCGUGCCGGCUAUUCAGGACUAGCGCAGGACUCUGGGCGACCUCACAUCCCACUCGUGCUGCUGCCCCGGGCACUCGCCUCCCGCGAAAAGUCGUGGGACCACGUCGAAUAUGGGGAGUAUCCUUUCCUGUUUGAAAAGCUGCUCUUAGGGCAUAGGGAAAGGUGGGGAGGGCAGAGGUUGGGACCCUGGGAGGUGCCUGGUAGUGACCUUUUUGGUCUAGCUGUGGAGGGCUGAGAGCGCUGGCACCGAUUGGUGGGCUCCAGCAGCUUGGUUUUAGUUUUUCUGUUUUUUGUUUUUUUUUUUCCUGGGACUCGCUGCCAUCCUAGAAUCAGGGGAGGUGGGACUGCUUUAAAGAAUGGUCAGGGGAGUCGCCGCACUGGUUUGAGAUUUAGAGCGCGAGCCCUCCCACUCUGAGAGCUUCUGUCACCUGUCCUUUAGUGAAUUCGUCCUCUUUGAAAUUGUUGGGAAACUGUGCGAGAACAGAGGCAAGGCAACAGGAGUUUGCGGUCUACUUAUCACUACAGUUUAAAGGAUAAUAAAGAAAGUGUAGUUGUAUUAGCAUAAUAAAGGGAAGAGCACUGGAAUAUGAGUCAAAUCAAUUUCUAAUCCCAGUUUAGUACCUCAGUUGGAAAUGCAGAAAUCACCUGUCUUCUGCAUCAAUCACUCUGGGAGCUGCAGACUGGAGCUGUUACUAUUUGGCCGUCUUGGGAUAAGGUUAUAUAUUGAUCAGUUGAUGAAAAUGUAACCACCUAUUCCUGUAUUUCCCCUAGAAGUAAUGGUUCAGUAUUUGCUAAUUUGGUAUUCUCAGCAACUUAAUUAGACCAUGACUACCUUGGACAACAUGAAUCAAUUGUACUUCCUUUGGAAAUUAGUGUUUUGUUUGAAAAUUCUUUGGAGUCUAAUUUUAGAUCUUUUGUAAAUUAUCUGAACUUUCACUAUGGCUCUUUUAAAGUUGUUAUUGUCUUCGGUAGUCAGAGGCUUACUGUAAUAUAUCUAGUGUAGAUUUAUUUUCUGCUUGGCAUUUUUUAUGCUUCCUGAAUUAAAAUAUUAAAGGUUACUUUCAUCAGUUAUGCGAAGAGUCUCAUGCAUCAUCUCCUUGAAUAUAACCUUUACAUAUUUUGUAUUACAGUUUGUAUUACAAUCUGUUUGUAUGCAAUCGUAGUUAUGUUGGGGAAAUAACUUUUUGAAUAGCCUUAUCCUUAAUGGCUCUUUUCAGAGCCAUUAUUUUACUUGAAGUUUGCUGCAAAAGAACUUAAUAGGAAUGCCAAGAAAUGUGAUAAAGAAGAAAAGGCUGAAAAGGCCAAGAUUAAAAGGCUAUUCAGAAAGGCAAUAAGGAAGCUGCAAGAAUACAUGCUGAAAAUGCAAUCCACCAGAAAAAUCAAGCAAUUGAUUUCUUAAGAAUGAGUGCUAGAGUUGGUGCUGUGGCAGUCAGAGGUCAAAAUGCAGUAACAAUGGGCAGGGACUUCUGCCUUGAUGGACAAAUUCAAACACCAGUUUGAAACACUGGAUAUUCAAACACAACAAAUGGAAGAUAAAAUGAGUAGCUCUACAACCCUAAUAACACCACAAGGAAUCAAUUUGUUACAAAGUUAACUAAGUUGUAUUCAUACUCAAGCUUUUCAUUUUCCACACUGGAAAAUGCUCUCAAGCAAGAAGAUUUAUUGGUAAAAUAAUUCAACUGAAAUUUCCAAAAUGAAAUCUGUCUAUGAAAGCCUUCCAACUUCAGUUAGAAAAGUCCAAAUUGAAUGUUAAAGGGACAUUUAUUCAUGUAAAAUGUAUUACCUGGACUGUUUUAUGUUCUUAAAUUUUGUAAGGGAAGAAAAAAAUUCUUCAUUUAAUAUGUUGCUUGGUCAUUAAAGUUAGGUCCCAUAUUCCAAAUGAAAGUUCAUAAAAUGAACUCUAUAUAUAUAUUUCUUAGAAAUCUUGCUGGCUAUGUUCUGGGUGUUGAAGUAAUAAUAUAGACAGUUGCCUCCUAUAUCUACAUUUAUGCAUGUUCUUAGCUCUUCAGAACAUUAACAUUAGUAUUUUCUUAGCUUUCUAGGGUACAACAUAUUCAUCUGGAUUAGAAUUAUGCUCUGACUCUACUAACUGUGUACCCUCAGAGGAGUGUUAAACUCUCCUGAGCUUUGGCCUGUUUGCAAAACAAAAAGUAAUUAUUACCUUAAGGAGUUGUUUUGAGGAUUAGAUGAGACAAUGUAUGUCAAAGUGCCUGUUUCGUGCUGUUGUUCCUUUAAUAACAAUAACAAUAACAGCUAACAAUUUUAUAGUAUUUACUAUGUAUCAAACAUUGUUAUAAGCACUUAAUUCCCAUUAACUUACAUAAUCACAAUGACCCUGUGAAGUAGAUACUAUUAUUAUUCCCACAUUAUAGAUGAGGAAACUGAAGCACACAGGAAUUGACAUGCCUGAGGUCACACAGCUGUGAAGUUUCAAAUAAGCAGCUUGGCUCUCCGAUUGUUGCCUACCUCUAAGAAUUUUCAAAAAACAAAUCCAUAAAAGAAAGGAAAUUAAAGUUUUGA